GAAGAACUCCGAUUGCGAAGCCAGGCACAGUCUUACUGAACGCUUAAGCUCGAAGGUGCGGGUAUCGACAAGAAUUAGAUACCCUGGUAGUCGCACGGUAACGAUGGAUGCCCGCUGUUGCGAUAUACUGUGAGCGGCCAAGAGAAAUCGUUAAGCAUCCCACCUGGGGAGUACGCCGGCAACGGUGAAACUCAAAGGAAUUGACGGGGGCCCGCACAAGCGGAGGAACAUGUGGUUUAAUUCGAUGAUACGCGAGGAACCUUACCCGGGCUUGAACUGCCAGCGAACGAUUCAGAGAUGAUGAGGCCCUUCGGGGCGCUGGUGGAGGUGCUGCAUGGUUGUCGUCAGCUCGUGCCGUGAGGUGUCGGCUUAAGUGCCAUAACGAGCGCAACCCUUUUCUUUAGUUGCCAUCAGGUGAUGCUGGGCACUCUGGAGAUACUGCCACCGUAAGGUGUGAGGAAGGUGGGGAUGACGUCAAAUCAGCACGGCCCUUACGUCCGGGGCUACACACGUGUUACAAUGGGGGGUACAGAGAGUCGGAUAUACGCAAGUAUGUUCUAAUCCUUAAAGCCUUCCUCAGUUCGGAUUGGGGUCUGCAACCCGACCCCAUGAAGCUGGAUUCGCUAGUAAUCGCGCAUCAGCCAUGGCGCGGUGAAUACGUUCCCGGGCCUUGUACACACCGCCCGUCAAGCCAUGAAAGCCGGGGGCGCUUGAAGUCCGUGACCGCAAGGAUCGGCCUAGAGCGAAACUGGUAAUUGGGGCUAAGUCGUAACAAGGUAGCCGUA
rnacentral:rRNA from 1 species